rnacentral:misc_RNA from 1 species
CCGAGUACUAUAACUCAUAACCCUUUGUGAACCUUCAUACCUGUUGCUUCGGCGGCGCGCCUCUCGGGGCGUGCCCGCCGGCAUUAUCAGAAUCUCUGUUCGAACCCGACGAUACUUCUGAGUGUUCUAAGCGAACUGUUA